CCUACGGGUGGCAGCAGUGAGGAAUAUUGGUCAAUGGGCGCGAGCCUGAACCAGCCAAGUCGCGUGAGGGAAGACGGUCCUAUGGAUUGUAAACCUCUUUUGUCGGGGAGCAAAAGACGCCACGCGUGGCGCUCCGAGAGUACCCGAAGAAAAAGCAUCGGCUAACUCCGUGCCAGCAGCCGCGGUAAUACGGAGGAUGCGAGCGUUAUCCGGAUUUAUUGGGUUUAAAGGGUGCGCAGGCGGAAGAUGAAGUCAGCGGUAAAAUUGAGGGGCUCAACCUCUUCGAGCCGUUGAAACUGGUGUUCUUGAGUGGGCGAGAAGUAUGCGGAAUGCGUGGUGUAGCGGUGAAAUGCAUAGAUAUCACGCAGAACUCCGAUUGCGAAGGCAGCAUACCGGCGCUCAACUGACGCUGAUGCACGAAAGUGUGGGUAUCGAACAGGAUUAGAUACCCGGGUAGUC
rnacentral:rRNA from 1 species